rnacentral:lncRNA from 1 species
GUGACUGCUGGGCCCCAAAGAUGAAAAAACAGGCUAACAUGGAUGUCCCAAAGUAUCAUUGGAAGAAAGACAGAAUUUAUCACCCUUGAUCUAACAACCAAAGAGGACGGGCAGCCAAACAGUCAUCUAAGCACAUGAGAUAGCAAGUUUCCCGUUCCCGGCUCAUCUGCAGCAUCCUAACUGGAUGGGAGCCAGAAUAGGAUAUAUGAUUGUAUUUACCAGUGGGCCAUUCUUGUUCCUCUCCACCGUCACUGGCUGCAAUGAUUUAACGACCACCAGACAGCCAUCAGCAACUACUGGGUGGCAUCCCUCCACAUGCUCGCUGCAUUCAAGGAUAACUCUGUGCAGGUGUACAUGUGGAAAGAGGCAGGCCGCCACCCAUACCUCAGGAGCUGUUGUCACCUGGAACACACGUGGCAAGAUCAGACACCACGCAGCUACAUCUCCUACGUAAUGUGUGGUAAUGUGAGCAUAGUACUUAAGGUGAACAAAGUGGAUGAUUCCAGCAUUCUGGUGUUGUAUUCUUUCAAU